GUUUCACUCUUGAGAGGCAUCAAAGUGACUCUUCUGAAGAUUGAAGGGCUUCAUCUCUCCCCACAGCAGAAAAGGAGCAGGAAACAUCAGGAAUAUCCAGCCUCCUUUGGAGUGGGGUCCUUAACAGGAGCAUCUGCCCCAGGGAUACUAUUGACAGACAGCAGUGUGGGCAUCUGUUCCAGACUGGCAGUCUCCAUAGAAUGCUGGGAGAAUUUCUGCUGCUCCUUCCUGCCUCCUUCUCCAGUGCUUGCAUGGGUGUUUCUUAUCUUGCUACAUUCACUGAAAUCACAAGGCAAUUCCAUGGAAAUUCAAAGCUGAACACCACAAUGGGAAGGGUGUUGGAAAAAUUAAUUCAGGAGCCUUGGGCCUAGCUGGCUGCAUUCCUGCUGCUGGGACGGGCAAUCGUCAGGUAGAAAAAACAGGCAUGUCCUCUGCUGUAAAAUAAAUCACAAACAGAGAAUACCAUCAGACAUAUCAAAAGGUUUUACUCUUAGCGUAGGUGUUUAAGAUGGAGGUGAACCAUCAGUACACCAUGGCCAAAGAUCUGAAAAUGUGACCUAGCAGAUAGUUAGAAAUUAGGCAUCACACUUAAGCACCAGCUGAGGGACCAAACAUUCUCCAGAAGAAUGUCUGCCUGUAGGAGCCAGUAACUUGAAGGAGAAGGUGCCACUAGAGGGACCACUGAUCUGAUCUCUCUGAAGAAACACAGGAAUCUCUGCACUGCCAAAAGUUAUCUGGGUGGGAUCAUGGUGCCUUUCUUGAUGUGAGUUUCACUGGUGAAGACAUCUGAGCAACCAGGCAGUCCCACCUCACCUCUAUCUACCCAUCCCUGUUUCACAGCACUGUGAUAAGGGGCACAGAGCAUGCUACACAUUUCUCAGGGGCUAGAAGAAAACUUAGAACAACUUUUCCUCUCUUUUUCAUCAAGGACAGAAGAGGACAUUUUGCACUACACUGCAGCUGAAAACCUAAAUACUGGAUAAAAGAAAAUCUUUAACUAGCCUAAAAUGAAGAGUUCAGGCAAUGGAAUAAAACACCAGAAAGAGCUCAUGUAAUCGAAGAAAUAAUAUUCAGGGCAGGAUGUGAUACCCAAUUAUUUGGGAUGGAAAAAGUCUGUGAAGUCAAUCCUGUCACAAUGCAGGGGGGUGGAAUAGCUGUCCAGAGGCUUGCAGCCUUAAUAAAUGUGUAUAGGAGAAUACUGAAUCAGCAGUUAAAGGAGACACCAAAACUGCAAACACAGAACUGUGAUAUUAAAGGACAGAGACAACGCUCUAUUUACAAUAAAAUAAACAUCGUUUACACAUGUGUUACCCAUUUAAGUGAGGAGAUCGGAAAUGGAAGCAGGCACUGUCAGGUUACAUUUACAAGAGAUGUAUUUGAUUUCAACAUGCUUUGAUUGAGACCCCUGCUACUUUCCUUUUGAAAAUUGUAGAGUAAAAUGUGCUGGUGAAUUGUAAAGGUUUCAUCCUCCUUGAUGUAUUUUUAUUGAACACGACUUGUAGGCUUCAAAUUUUAAUACUCUGUCCCUAGACUGCUGUCACUCACCAUAUCACACUUCUCAAUUCACAAGGGUUAGAGUUUGGGGGAAAAUGGCCCAAACAUAACCAUUGGGACACUUUGUUUAUCACAGGGAUAUAUUGUCAAAAUGUAAAUUUAUAUUUUAUAAUUCCAAUGGGAAAUAAAAACCUGGCAUUUAAAAGCAAAAACACACAAAAAAAAUUUUUUUUCCCUUCCUCACUAACUGCCAUGCUCUAUCAGAAAACAAAAGUAUUUCCUGAUUAUAUUGCAUUUAUUUCCCAAGUGCUUGCUUCUCCUUCAUAGGAAGUUUUUCAUCAGGGUUUCAGAAUAAUGCCAUGCUUUUCUUUCCUCCCUAAGACUUCCAGUGUUCAAACUUACAGAUGGCAGCAUCCUUCUCAGACAUCAUUUUCAUUGCUACAAACUUCUGUGCCUCUGGAGUAGGCCACCUUAUGGUUCUGAUAUGCCACUAAUGAGUCUCCCAUCUCUUCAGCAGUAAACAGUCUUUUUGCUAGUCAAUAUUUGUGCUGCAUUGUGCACACAAAACCCUGUGAAUCUUGCCCCCACUAGUGCGCACAUUUUAUGGAUAUAAAUGCAUUUUUCUGUUGUUGCCUUCCAGAGACUCAGGAUUACUGGACUUUUUUGUGUAUUCACAACAUCUUGUGUGCUUAGAUCAUAAAUUUUCCAUGAAAAAUGUAUGCUUGUGGUAGUGGGCAAUCUAUCUGUAUUACUAAUUCAGUAUCUCUGGAGCAAAAACUAAAUAUAUUGACUUUUGUCUAGUUAGUUGUGCUUGGUCCUUGUGAUUCUACUUAGAAUAAAACAGAGAUCGACGUCA